rnacentral:tRNA from 2 species
GGGCCUAUAGCUCAGCGGUAGAGCCCCCGGCUCAUAACCGGUCGGUCCCUGGUUCGAUCCCAGGUGGGCCCACCA